rnacentral:rRNA from 1 species
GACGAACGCUGGCGGCGUGCCUAAUACAUGCAAGUAGAACGCUGAAGACUUUAGCUUGCUAAAGUUGGAAGAGUUGCGAACGGGUGAGUAACGCGUAGGUAACCUGCCUACUAGCGGGGGAUAACUAUUGGAAACGAUAGCUAAUACCGCAUAACAGCAUCUAACACAUGUUAGAUGCUUGAAAGGAGCAAUUGCUUCACUAGUAGAUGGACCUGCGUUGUAUUAGCUAGUUGGCAGGGUAACGGCCUACCAAGGCGACGAUCAGUAGCCGACCUGAGAGGGUGAUCGGCCACAUUGGGACUGAGACACGGCCCAGACUCCUACGGGAGGCAGCAGUAGGGAAUCUUCGGCAAUGGGGGCAACCCUGACCGAGCAACGCCGCGUGAGUGAAGAAGGUUUUCGGAUCGUAAAGCUCUGUUGUAAGAGAAGAACGUGUGUGAGAGUGGAAAGUUCACACAGUGACGGUAACUUACCAGAAAGGGACGGCUAACUACGUG